GCGCCUUUAGCUUAGUUGGUUAGAGCAAACCCCUCAUAAGGGUGAGGUCGCUGGUUCAAGCCCAGCAAGGUGCA
rnacentral:tRNA from 2 species